CGGGAUCCCACAUACCGCCCGCAGGGAACGAUCGGCAGCAGGAUCUGUCAGUUCAUCCACAAUCUUUUUCCCUUUUUGGGACACUCUCUGUUCAUCCCCGACCCGAUCAACCUUCCUUUUCCUGGUCAAUGCUUGUUCAGGAGAAGGCUGUUGAUCGUCCACAUACACGACCGAGAUCUUCGUUGCAGCGGUCUCUGGACGACUGGUCACGUUUGAGGAGCCUCCUGCCUUGUUUUUGGUCUUGGCAAUGUUAAACCAAUCUCGACCACCUUUUUUCCCCAUAAUUUCUGCAAAUAAGCACCACC
rnacentral:lncRNA from 1 species